AUACUGACCUUACAGGGAGAUACCAUGAUCAGAGGUGGUUCUCCCAGGGCGAGGCUUCUACACUGCACUCCAGAUGUGCUGACCCCUGUGAUUUUCCCAAAUGUGGGAAACUCAACGGCAUAAUUGUGUUUGUGGGGGACUGUGCUGGUGCUCUGCUCUA